rnacentral:rRNA from 1 species
UAGGGAAUCUUCCACAAUGGACGCAAGUCUGAUGGAGCAACGCCGCGUGAGUGAAGAAGGUUUUCGGACCGUAAAGCUCUGUUGUUGGUGAAGAAGGAUAGAGGUAGUAACUGGCCUUUAUUUGACGGUAAUCAACCAGAAAGUCACGGCUAACUACGUGCCAGCAGCCGCGGUAAUACGUAGGUGGCAAGCGUUGUCCGGAUUUAUUGGGCGUAAAGCGAGCGCAGGCGGAAGAAUAAGUCUGAUGUGAAAGCCCUCGGCUUAACCGAGGAAUUGCAUCGGAAACUGUUUUCUUGAGUGCAGAAGAGGAGAGUAGAACUCCAUGUGUAGCGGUGGAAUGCGUAGAUAUAUGGAAGAAUACCAGUGGCGAAGGCGGCCCUCUGGUCUGCAACUGACGCUGAGGCUCGAAAGCAUGGGUAGCGAACAGGAUUAGAUACCCUGGUAGUCCAUGCCGUAAACGAUGAGUGCUAAGUGUUGGGGAGGCUUCCGCCUCUCAGUGCUGCAGCUAACGCAUUAAGCACUCCGCCUGGGGGAGUACGACCGCAAGGUUGAAAC